rnacentral:rRNA from 1 species
UAGUUCCUACGGGGGGCAGCAGUGGGGAAUAUUGCACAAUGGGGGAAACCCUGAUGCAGCGACGCCGCGUGAAGGAAGAAGUAUCUCGGUAUGUAAACUUCUAUCAGCAGGGAAGAAAACAGACGGUACCUGACUAAGAAGCCCCGGCUAACUACGUGCCAGCAGCCGCGGUAAUACGUAUGGAGCAAGCGUUAUCCGGAUUUACUGAGUGUAAAGGGAGAGUAGGUGGCAGAGCAAGUCCGAAGUGAAAACCCAAAGCUCAACUAUGGGAAUGCUUUAGAAACUGCUCAGCUAGAGUGCAGGAG